AACGAACGCUGGCGGCAGGCCUAACACAUGCAAGUCGAACGCCCUAGCAAUAGGGAGUGGCAGACGGGUGAGUAACGCGUGGGAACGUACCCUUCGGUUCGGAAUAACCCACGGGAAACUUAGGACUAAUACCGGAUACGUGCGAGAGCAGAAAGAUUUAUCGCCGAAGGAUCGGCCCGCGUCCGAUUAGCUAGUUGGUGAGGUAAU
rnacentral:rRNA from 1 species